AUCACCUGCAUCUUGUCUGCGGGACAAUAUUUAGGCGGUCAUCAUUGCUCCACUGGUUGUUGUGUAGCUGGUGCCAUGUCUGUGAGCGAGAUCUUCGUGGAGCUGCAGGGCGUUCAGGCUACAGAACAGGACAUCCGAACGGAAAUACGAAAAGUUGUACAGAGCUUAGAGCAAACAGCUCGAGAGAUUUUAACUCUGCUUCAAGGGAUUCACCAGGGAGCUAGAUUUCAGUACAUUCCAAAGAGGUGUUUGAAAGCCCGAGAACAGUUUGGUACAGUAAAAACACAUCUAACGUCUCUGAAGACCAAGUUCCCUGCUGAACAGUAUUACAGGUUUCACAAGCACUGGAGGUUCGUGCUGCAGCCCUUGGUUUUCCUGGCAGCGUUUGCUGUGUAUUGGGAAACAGUAACACUAGUUACUCAAGAAGCGGUUACAGAAAUUCUUGGCAUUGAGCCAGAUCGGGAGAAAGGAUUUCACCUGGAUGUUGAAGAUAAUCUCUCAGGAGUUUUAAUUCUCGUUAGUGAAUUGUCAAGGCUGUCUGUCAACAGUGUGAUUGCUGGAGAUUCCUCCGGCCCCUGCACAUCUCCACUUUCAUCAAUGAGCUGGAUCCUGGGUUCUGCCUUCUCUACCUGAAAAAUGACUCGCUGAGGAAGCGCUAUGAUGUCUUAAAGUAUGACCUGAAGAAAGUAGAGGAGGUGGUCUAUGACCUCUCCAUUUGGGGCUUCAACAAGAAGACAGCGGCUGCCUGUACUGAAAAAUAAGAGGUUUUCCCUGUUACGGGCCUUGCUGAUCUGGCUGUUGCCAGGGAGGAGUGUGCACAGAGUGCCUCUCACUGUAGUUAGGAUGCCCAGUUGCUAAACACUGCGCUUUAUUUUCUUAACUAGUUGUGUGGUGUGAGUAUCAGAAGUGAAGAUAUUCUUGGGGGUUAAACCAACCUUUACAUGGACAUAAUGUUCUUUGUCAUUUUAGUGGAUUUGCUCUGUAAUUUGUUGUAUUUCAGUUUUGUUAAAAGUGUCAAUGUCAGUCUCAUGGUAAAAUCCUUUUCUUAUUCUGACUGUUGAUGUUCUGAUUAAGAAGUUCAAUGUCUUGCUUGUAAUUCUUCC